rnacentral:rRNA from 1 species
CACACCGCGUGAGUGAAGAAGGGUUUCGGAUCGUAAAGCUCUGUUGUUAGAGAAGAACGUGCGUGAGAGCAACUGUUCACGCUUUGACGGUAUCUAACCAGAAAGUCACGGCUAACUACGUGCCAGCAGCCGCGGUAAUACGUAGGUGGCAAGCGUUAUCCGGAUUUAUUGGGCGUAAAGCGAGCGCAGGCGGUUUGAUAAGUCUGAUGUGAAAGCCUUUGGCUUAACCAAAGAAGUGCAUCGGAAACUGUCUUACUUGAGUGCAGAAGAGGACAGUGGAACUCCAUGUGUAGCGGUGAAAU